GAUGAACGCUGGCGGCGUGCCUAAUACAUGCAAGUCGAGCGAACAGACGAGGAGCUUGCUCCUCUGACGUUAGCGGCGGACGGGUGAGUAACACGUGGAUAACCUACCUAUAAGACUGGGAUAACUUCGGGAAACCGGAGCUAAUACCGGAUAAUAUAUUGAACCGCAUGGUUCAAUAGUGAAAGACGGUUUUGCUGUCACUUAUAGAUGGAUCCGCGCCGCAUUAGCUAGUUGGUAAGGUAAAGGCUUUCCAAGGCGACGAUGCGUACCCCACCUGAGAGGGUGAUCGGCCCCACUGGAACUGAGACACGGUCCAGACUCCUACGGGAGGCAGCAAUAGGGAAUCUUCCGCAAUGGGCGAAAGCCUGACGGAGCAACGCCGCGUGAGUGAUGAAGGUCUUCGGAUCGUAAAACUCUGUUAUUAGGGAAGAACAAAUGUGUAAGUAACUAUGCACGUCUUGACGGUACCUAAUCAGAAAGCCACGGCUAACUACGUG
rnacentral:rRNA from 1 species